rnacentral:rRNA from 1 species
CCGAGUUAUCCAACUCCCAACCCCUGUGAAUCAUACCUUUAAUUGUUGCUUCGGCGGGACUUCGCGCCCGCCGGGGACCCAAACCUUCUGAAUUUUUUAAUAAGUAUCUUCUGAGUGGUUAAAAAAAAUGAAUCAAAACUUUCAACAACGGAUCUCUUGGUUCUGGCAUCGAUGAAGAACGCAGCGAAAUGCGAUAAGUAAUGUGAAUUGCAGAAUUCAGUGAAUCAUCGAAUCUUUGAACGCACAUUGCGCCCGUCAGUAUUCUGGCGGGCAUGCCUGUUCGAGCGUCAUUACGCCCCUCAAGUCCCCUGUGGACUUUGUGUUGGGGAUCGGCGAGGCUGGUUUUCCAGCACAGCCGUCCCUUAAAUUAAUUGGCGGUCUCGCCGUGGCCCUCCUCUGCGCAGUAGUAAAGCACUCGCAACAGGAGCCCGGCGCGGUCCACUGCCGUAAAACCCCCCAACUUUUUAUAG